CCUACGGGUGGCUGCAGUAGGGAAUUUUCGUCACUUGGCGCAAGCCUGACCUCUCCCUUCCUCUUUCCCGAGGCAGGUCUUCGGCUCGUAAAGUUCUGUUGAAGGGGAAAAAGAGCGGAGAGAGGAAAUGAACUCCGAUUGAUAUUACCCUUCGAGGAAGUCACGGCUAACUACGUGCCAGCAGCCGCGGUAAUACGUAGGUGGCGAGCGUUAUCCGGAAUGAUUGGGCGUAAAGGGUGCGUAGGCGGCCUGCUAAGUCUGGAGUGAAAGGUACCGGCUCAACCGGUAUAGGCUCUGGAAACUGGCGGGCUAGAGAGCAGGAGAGGGCGGUGGAACUCCAUGUGUAGCGGUAAAAUGCGUAGAUAUAUGGAAGAACACCAGUGGCGAAGGCGGCCGCCUGGCCUGUUACUGACGCUGAGGCACGAAAGCGUGGGGAGCUAAUAGGAUUAGAUACCCGAGUAGUC
rnacentral:rRNA from 1 species